rnacentral:pre_miRNA from 1 species
CAUGUAUCAGUGGGGUCCCUUGGCCUGGCCUGCAGGAUUGGGUCAAAACUGGCUCUCCGAUAUCCCCCAAUGGCCCCGGAUUGUGAGAGGGUGCAGGCCAGGCCAAGGGACCCCACUGGUGCAAC